UACUUGAGAGUAUUUGAAAGUAUUCUGGUAAGUUUCAAACCUUAAAUAAAUAAAAAUUGAGUUGGAACAAAAUAGAAUGACCCAUCUGAAUCAUCCCCUUUCAUUGGGCAGCUGGCAUGCUUCAUUUUGGCUCAUGGCACACAGUGAGACAACCCACCUGAGAUGACCCAUGUGAUUGGGACGACCCACCUAGGAUGACACCUGAGACCCUG
rnacentral:lncRNA from 1 species